rnacentral:rRNA from 1 species
GAGCGUUGUAUGCGGGGUGAAGUCAUAGCGUAAGCGGUGGUGGACUGCAUACAAGUGAGAAUGCCGGAAUGAGUAGCGAGAAUUAUGUGAGAAUCAUAAUGGCCGAAAGUCUAAGGUUUUAGGAGGAAGGUUCGUCCGCUCCUAGUAAGCCGGGAGCUAAGGUGAGGCGGAAACGCGUAACCGAUGCACAUACGGUUGAAAUUCCGUAGCCUCCAAAAGAUUUAAGCACAAGGACACUUUGAAAGCCGUAAAGCCGGGCGAUGGUUGACCCGGUCGAAAG